GGGACACGUGGUAUCCUGUCUGAAUAUGGGGGGACCAUCCUCCAAGGCUAAAUACUCCUGACUGACCGAUAGUGAACCAGUACCGUGAGGGAAAGGCGAAAAGAACCCCGGCGAGGGGAGUGAAAAAGAACCUGAAACCGUGUACGUACAAGCAGUGGGAGCACGCUUAGGCGUGUGACUGCGUACCUUUUGUAUAAUGGGUCAGCGACUUAUAUUCUGUAGCAAGGUUAACCGAAUAGGGGAGCCGAAGGGAAACCGAGUCUUAACUGGGCGUUAAGUUGCAGGGUAUAGACCCGAAACCCGGUGAUCUAGCCAUGGGCAGGUUGAAGGUUGGGUAACACUAACUGGAGGACCGAACCGACUAAUGUUGAAAAAUUAGCGGAUGACUUGUGGCUGGGGGUGAAAGGCCAAUCAAACCGGGAGAUAGCUGGUUCUCCCCGAAAGCUAUUUAGGUAGCGCCUCGUGAAUUCAUCUCCGGGGGUAGAGCACUGUUUCGGCAAGGGGGUCAUCCCGACUUACCAACCCGAUGCAAACUGCGAAUACCGGAGAAUGUUAUCACGGGAGACACACGGCGGGUGCUAACGUCCGUCGUGAAGAGGGAAACAACCCAGACCGCCAGCUAAGGUCCCAAAGUCAUGGUUAAGUGGGAAACGAUGUGGGAAGGCCCAGACAGCCAGGAUGUUGGCUUAGAAGCAGCCAUCAUUUAAAGAAAGCGUAAUAGCUCACUGGUCGAGUCGGCCUGCGCGGAAGAUGUAACGGGGCUAAACCAUGCACCGAAGCUGCGGCAGCGACGCUGAUGCGUUGUUGGGUAGGGGAGCGUUCUGUAAGCCUGCGAAGGUGUGCUGUGAGGCAUGCUGGAGGUAUCAGAAGUGCGAAUGCUGACAUAAGUAACGAUAAAGCGGGUGAAAAGCCCGCUCGCCGGAAGACCAAGGGUUCCUGUCCAACGUUAAUCGGGGCAGGGUGAGUCGACCCCUAAGGCGAGGCCGAAAGGCGUAGUCGAUGGGAAACAGGUUAAUAUUCCUGUACUUGGUGUUACUGCGAAGGGGGGACGGAGAAGGCUAUGUUGGCCGGGCGACGGUUGUCCCGGUUUAAGCGUGUAGGCUGGUUUUCCAGGCAAAUCCGGAAAAUCAAGGCUGAGGCGUGAUGACGAGGCACUACGGUGCUGAAGCAACAAAUGCCCUGCUUCCAGGAAAAGCCUCUAAGCAUCAGGUAACAUCAAAUCGUACCCCAAACCGACACAGGUGGUCAGGUAGAGAAUACCAAGGCGCUUGAGAGAACUCGGGUGAAGGAACUAGGCAAAAUGGUGCCGUAACUUCGGGAGAAGGCACGCUGAUAUGUAGGUGAAGUCCCUUGCGGAUGGAGCUGAAAUCAGUCGAAGAUACCAGCUGGCUGCAACUGUUUAUUAAAAACACAGCACUGUGCAAACACGAAAGUGGACGUAUACGGUGUGACGCCUGCCCGGUGCCGGAAGGUUAAUUGAUGGGGUCAGCGCAAGCGAAGCUCUUGAUCGAAGCCCCGGUAAACGGCGGCCGUAACUAUAACGGUCCUAAGGUAGCGAAAUUCCUUGUCGGGUAAGUUCCGACCUGCACGAAUGGCGUAAUGAUGGCCAGGCUGUCUCCACCCGAGACUCAGUGAAAUUGAACUCGCUGUGAAGAUGCAGUGUACCCGCGGCAAGACGGAAAGACCCCGUGAACCUUUACUAUAGCUUGACACUGAACAUUGAGCCUUGAUGUGUAGGAUA
rnacentral:rRNA from 1 species